rnacentral:rRNA from 1 species
AUAGGGGAGCCGGAGGGAAACCGAGUCUUAACCGGGCGUUAAGUUGCAGGGUAUAGACCCGAAACCCGGUGAUCUAGCCAUGGGCAGGUUGAAGGUUGGGUAACACUAACUGGAGGACCGAACCGACUAAUGUUGAAAAAUUAGCGGAUGACCUGUGGCUGGGGGUGAAAGGCCAAUCAAACCGGGAGAUAGCUGGUUCUCCCCGAAAGCUAUUUAGGUAGCGCCUCGUGAAUUCAUCUCCGGGGGUAGAGCACUGUUUCGGCUAGGGGGCCAUCCCGGCUUACCAACCCGAUGCAAACUGCGAAUACCGGAGAAUGUUAUCACGGGAGACACACGGCGGGUGCUAACGUCCGUCGUGAAGAGGGAAACAACCCAGACCGCCAGCUAAGGUCCCAAAGUCAUGGUUAAGUGGGAAACGAUGUGGGAAGGCCCAGACAGCCAGGAUGUUGGCUUAGAAGCAGCCAUCAUUUAAAGAAAGCGUAAUAGCUCACUGGUCGAGUCGGCCUGCGCGGAAGAUGUAACGGGGCUAAACCAUGCACCGAAGCUGCGGCAGCGAACGUAUCACUUAAAGCGAUUCAGCGGGUUACGAUUGACGGAGCGAAGCGACGUCAAAGCGUAUACAAAGUCGAGUCGGUUUAAGGAUACGUUCGUUGGGUAGGGGAGCGUUCUGUAAGCCUGUGAAGGUGGCCUGUGAGGGUUGCUGGAGGUAUCAGAAGUGCGAAUGCUGACAUAAGUAACGAUAAAGCGGGUGAAAAGCCCGCUCGCCGGAAGACCAAGGGUUCCUGUCCAACGUUAAUCGGGGCAGGGUGAGUCGACCCCUAAGGCGAGGCCGAAAGGCGUAGUCGAUGGGAAACGGGUUAAUAUUCCCGUACUUGGUGUUACUGCGAAGGGGGGACGGAGAAGGCUAUGUUGGCCGGGCGACGGUUGUCCCGGUUUAAGCGUGUAGGUGUGUGUUCCAGGUAAAUCCGGUU